rnacentral:lncRNA from 1 species
GCCAACAUGAGUAUCGGUUCAGAAUGGUUCACGGGGCAAAUUCCAAAAAGGAAGUGAUCAUCCCAAUCCCCUUGGAGUGAGGACUUUGGAGUGAGCAAGACACCUGCGUGCCAUUAUGUAGUUGUGUGAAAUGCAUGUGGCAAAGGGAGCAUUUCCUCAUUAUCUUCAGCUGGCAUGUUCCCAUGACAAUGCAGCAUAGUGUUCAUCUGCAGAUGUCACUGUUUUACUGGCAUAAAUAUAUAUAUAUUUUUUUAUUUUGUAUGCAACAUCGGACAGCCAGGGGGCAGCUGGGGUGGUGCAUACUGGUCUGGAUGACAGUGGGCAAAAGUUGUCCAAGCAAGAUGUUAGAGUGGAGCAAAGAGUGUCAGUAGCACUGUUUGUGUCCAGAGCUGAAAACUGAGAGAGUGAAGGAAGUGAGGAUGAACCAUAGAGGACAGGUGAGAUGGAGAGAGUGAGCAUAGGUUCUGUCGAAAGGAGACCUGCGGGGCAGUGUGUGCCGCUUCAGGAGCAAGUGCACUUGAAAUAUUGCCGUUCACACGCAGGUGUUGGAAUUCCUCCUGACGCAAGGGAGUUACAGCGCAAUGGACUCAAGGACAAACAUGGCCAGCGCUGCUUUGAUUCGGUUCAUCUGAGGAUUUACACAAGCUCCAGUCUGGACCCAGAACACCUGAGAAGAGAUGAUGCCAACCCUGAAACAACAUACAUAACUGCCAAAUUCUGCUAUAAGUUUUAUCGCAACAUAUAAUAAUUGCUGUUAAUAGUGUUUACUGUCUGUUUGAUUUGGGCAUUAACUUGAAGCAUUAACCCAAUCUCUGUAUCCAAAAACCUAACCCUACCCAUAAUUUAUUCCUAAAAUCUGAGGGAAAUGAUAGCUGAAUUACAAAGGCGUAGAAGCACCUAACUCAGGUUGUAAGCCUAAAACAAAUAUUUCCUGAAAAGUUAUAUCUCAAUUCUGAUUAGUUUAUUGGAAUGUUGUUCCAGGAUAAACAAGGAUGUUGAUCCAGGAAUGUGUUGUACUUGGUGAAAUCAUGCUUGCCUUAACUUGAUGGUCACCACUGAUAAGCUACUACUAAAUUUAACGUAGAAACUUACAUUUUCUAUAAAGCUGUUUAUCAACGAUUUACAUAAUGAAAAGUGCUAUACAAAUAAACUUUGAAUUGAAUUGAACUUGUCAAGUCAAGUCACCUUUAUUUAUAUAGAGCUUUAAACAAAAUACAUUGCGUCAAAGCAACUGAACAACAUUCAUUUGGAAAACAGUGUGUCAAUAAUGCAAAAUGAUAGUUAAAGGCAGUUCAUCAUUGAAUUCAGUGAUGUCAUCUCUGUUCAGUUAAAUAGUGUCUGUGCAUUUAUUUGCAAUCAAUUAUUAAUAUCGCUGUAGAUGAAGUGACCCCAACUAAGCAAGCCAGAGGCGACAGCGGCAAGGAACCGAAACUCCAUCGGUGACAGAAUGGAGAAAAAAACCUUGGGAGAAACCAGGCUCAGUUGGGGUCAGUUCUCCUCUGACCAGACGAAACCAGUAGUUCAAUUCCAGACUGCAGCAAAGUCAGAUUGUGCAGAAGAAUCAUCUGUUUCCGAACAAUGUUAGGUAGGUUAUUCCAGAGUUUAGGCGUCAAAUAGGAAAAGGAUCUGCCGCCCGCAGUUGAUUUUGAUAUUCUAGGUAUUAUCAAAUUGAGAAAGUUUUGAGAACGUAGCGGACGUAGAGGAGUAUAAUGUAAAAGGAGCUCAUUCAAAUACUGAGGUGCUAAACCAUUCAGGGCUUUAUAAGUAAUAAGCAAUAUUUUAAAAUCUAUACGAUGUUUGAUAGGGAGCCAGUGCAGUGUGGACAGGACCGGGCUAAUAUGGUCAUACUUCCUGGUUCCUGUAAGAACUCUUGCUGCUGCAUUUUGGACUAGCUGUAGUUUGUUUACUAAGCGUGCAGAACAACCACCCGAUAAAGCAUUACAAUAGUCUAACCUUGAAGUCAUAAAUGCAUGGAUUAACAUUUCUGCAUUUGACAUUGAGAGCAUAGGCCGUAAUUUAGAUAUAUUUUUGAGAUGGAAAAAUGCAGUUUUACAAAUGACUUUCUAAGGAAAGAUUGCGAUCAAGUAGCACACCUAGGUUCCUAACUGAUGACGAAGAAUUGACAGAGCAACCAUCAAGUCUUAGAAUUUGAAAUAUACACCUGGUUCAGGGUUCUCUGUGGCUUACCAAUGACCUUGCUCAAUAUGUUAAUGACCCUAGUUAAUGUUUUAAUAUUUGAUAUUCUGAUGAACGGCACAUUUG